GACGUAGGGCGCGAGCGUUGUCCGGAUUUAUUGGGCGUAAAGAGCUCGUAGGCGGCUUGUCGCGUCGUCCGUGAAAACCCACAGCUCAACUGUGGGCUUGCGGUCGAUACGGGCAGGCUAGAGUUCGGUAGGGGAGACUGGAAUUCCUGGUGUAGCGGUGAAAUGCGCAGAUAUCAGGAGGAACACCGAUGGCGAAGGCAGUGUUCUGGGCCAGUACUGACGCUGAGGAGCGAAAGCGUGGGGAGCAAACAGG
rnacentral:rRNA from 1 species